rnacentral:rRNA from 1 species
GACGAACGCUGGCGGCGUGCUUAAUACAUGCAAGUCGAACGGAAAGGCCCGGCUCUUGUGCCUCGCUCGAUUGGCGAACGGGUGAGAAAAACGUGAGUAAACUGCCCUUGACUUUCGGGUAACAUCAGGAAACUGGGGCUCAUACCGCAGAGGAGCUCCUGCUGCACGGUGGUCGUUGGAAAAUUUCGGCGGUUUGGGAUGGACUCGCGGCUUCUCAGCUUGUUGGUGGGGUAGUGGCGUACCAAGGGUUUGACGGGUAGCCGGCCUGAGAGGGUGACCGGCGACAUGGGUACUGCGGUACGGCCCAGACUCCAACGGGAGGCAGCAGUGGGGAAUAUUGCACAAUGGGCGGAAGCGUGAUGCGGCAACGCCGCGUGCGGGAUGACGUCCUUCUGGUUGUAAACCGCUUUCGCCUGUGACGAAGCGUGAGUGACGGUAAUGGGUAAAGAAGCACCGGCUAACUACGUG